AGUUGUUCCUUUAUAAUGGUCAUUCUUGUAUCCCUUUUGGGUUACCCGAAUUAUUGUGUAAGGAAUACAAAAUCUAAUUUAUUACUUCGUUUCCGCAUUCAAUUCGUAAUUUAUUUAUUUUUUAAUUCACGAGCCAUUACAGUUGGUAUCAGAGCCGCAUUCCUCGGAACCAUUCCUUACACAAAAUCCUUAGGAAACACUAAAAACUAUGAAUUAUCACUCAACUAAUCCUUAUGAAAUGCAAGUACAGAUAGAUAAGGAGAGGAAGACUCCUACUAAACUGAGUAGUCCAGAAGGGUUCACUUCGGGAGGAUGUUAACUGACUAUUUGAAAUGUUGGAGAGACUCAUCACUGCCCAGUAGGUCCGGGAGUAAAGGAGGGAGCUACCUAACCUCCUCCGGUACCACAGGUUGAGCCACCCCGGUACGACCCUACUCCUCUACAGUAGCAUUCAGAACCACCACAAUAUGAUCCGGUGCCCUAGCUACAAUACCACCCGGCACCACCAUAAUAUAGCUCGGUGCCCUAACUGCAUCACUCGGCACCAUCACAGUACAAACCAGUGCCUCCACUGUAUCAUCCAGUACCACCACAGGGCCAUCUGGUCUAUCCCCAGCACAAUCCAGUCCCUCCCC
rnacentral:lncRNA from 1 species